UCCAGGCAUGGCCAUGCAUGCCUGUAGUCCCAGCUACCCAGGAGGAAGAGGAGGGAGGAUUGCUUGAGCCUAGGAGUUUGGGGCUGUAGAGAGCUAUGAUGAUGCCACUGCACUCCAGCCUGGGCAACAAAGCAAGACCCUACCUCUA
rnacentral:SRP_RNA from 1 species